UACGAAGGGGGCUAGCGUUGCUCGGAAUGACUGGGCGUAAAGGGCGCGUAGGCGGUUUGUACAGUCAGAUGUGAAAUUCCUGGGCUCAACCUGGGGGCUGCAUUUGAUACGUGCAGGCUUGAGUGUGGAAGAGGGUCGUGGAAUUCCCAGUGUAGAGGUGAAAUUCGUAGAUAUUGGGAAGAACACCGGUGGCGAAGGCGGCGACCUGGGCCAUUACUGACGCUGAGGCGCGACAGCGUGGGGAGCAAACAGG
rnacentral:rRNA from 1 species